UUUGCCCUCCUCAUUCAUGCAUUCAUUUUUAGGUCAUUUAACAUUAGAUACAUUGCAUUUCAUCAUGUCAAUCAGAAUCAUAUCUAAGAAACUUUAUUUUAAAAAAAAAAUAAAAAAAAACGGAAAAAAAAAACGGAAAAAAAAUGGAAAAAAAAACGAAAAAAAAUAAAUAAAUAAAUAAAUAAAUAAAUAAAUAAAAUUAAAUAAAUAAAUA
rnacentral:lncRNA from 1 species